UACAGAGGCUCCAAGCGUUAUCCGGAAUCACUGGGCGUAAAGGGUGUGUAGGCGGUAAAGUUAGUCAGACGUUAAAGCCUCCCGCUUAACGGGAGAACUGCGUCUGAAACGGCUUUACUUGAGGAUGCGAGGGGUGAAUGGAACUCAUGGAGUAGGGGUGAAAUCCGUUGAUAUCAUGGGGAACACCAAAAGCGAAGGCAAUUCACUGGCGCACUCCUGACGCUGAAACACGAAAGCGUAGGUAGCGAAUGGG
rnacentral:rRNA from 1 species